CCUACGGGAGGCAGCAGUGGGGAAUAUUGGACAAUGGGGGCAACCCUGAUCCAGCCAUGCCGCGUGUGUGAAGAAGGCCUUUUGGUUGUAAAGCACUUUAAGCAGGGAGGAGAGGCUAAUGGUUAAUACCCAUUAGAUUAGACGUUACCUGCAGAAUAAGCACCGGCUAACUCUGUGCCAGCAGCCGCGGUAAUACAGAGGGUGCGAGCGUUAAUCGGAAUUACUGGGCGUAAAGCGAGUGUAGGUGGCUCAUUAAGUCACAUGUGAAAUCCCCGGGCUUAACCUGGGAACUGCAUGUGAUACUGGUGGUGCUAGAAUAUGUGAGAGGGAAGUAGAAUUCCAGGUGUAGCGGUGAAAUGCGUAGAGAUCUGGAGGAAUACCGAUGGCGAAGGCAGCUUCCUGGCAUAAUAUUGACACUGAGAUUCGAAAGCGUGGGUAGCAAACAGGAUUAGAUACCCUGGUAGUCCACGCCGUAAACGNUGUCUACUAGCCGUUGGGGUCCUUGAGACUUUAGUGGCGCAAGUUAACGCGAUAAGUAGACCGCCGUGGGGGAGGUACGGCCGCGAACGUUAAACGUAACGAAAGAAAGUUAGUACGGCGUAGAGACGUUAGCCGACGGACGACGACGAGGGGAGGUAGGG
rnacentral:rRNA from 1 species